UACGUAGGGUGCAAGCGUUAAUCGGAAUUACUGGGCGUAAAGCGUGCGCAGGUGGUUCAGCAAGUUGGAUGUGAAAGCCCUGGGCGUCAACCUGGGAACGUGCAUCCAAAACCUAACUGAGCUAGAGUACGGCAGAGGGUAGUGGAAUUUCCUGUGUAGCGGUGAAAUGCGUAGAUAUAGGAAGGAACACCAGUGGCGAAGGCGGCCC
rnacentral:rRNA from 1 species